GACGAACGCUGGCGGCGUGCUUAACACAUGCAAGUCGAACGGAAAGGCCCUGCUUUUGUGGGGUGCUCGAGUGGCGAACGGGUGAGUAACACAUGAGUAACCUGCCCUUGACUUUGGGAUAACUUCAGGAAACUGGGGCUAAUACCGGAUAGGAGCUCCUGCUGCAUGGUGGGGGUUGGAAAGUUUCGGCGGUUGGGGAUGGACUCGCGGCUUAUCAGCUUGUUGGUGGGGUAGUGGCUUACCAAGGCUUUGACGGGUAGCCGGCCUGAGAGGGUGACCGGCCACAUUGGGACUGAGAUACGGCCCAGACGCCUACGGGAGGCAGCAGUGGGGAAUAUUGCACAAUGGGCGGAAGCCUGAUGCAGCAACGCCGCGUGCGGGAUGACGGCCUUCGGGUUGUAAACCGCUUUCGCCUGUGACGAAGCGUGAGUGACGGUAAUGGGUAAAGAAGCACCGGCUAGCUACGUG
rnacentral:rRNA from 1 species